rnacentral:tRNA from 1 species
UGGGGAGUAGUAUAUUGGAAGUACAGAGGGUUUUGAUCUCUCAGAUACAGGUUCGACUCCUGUCUUUUCAA